rnacentral:snRNA from 1 species
AAUUGAUCAUAUGAUAUAGGGG